AAUAAAAGGAAAAAAAUAACCCAACUUUAAUCUGGCACACAAUUCAGCAGAGCAUUAAUUGAUCUUCAUUUCCAAAGCCAGAUAUUUCCCUAUCCAUGGAAACCAACGACCCCAAGGAGAAAAAAAUGACGCUUUCCAUUAGAAAAAAAAAAAAACAAACCCUUUUGUUUCACAAAUUUCCGAUCUAGCCUCGUCCCCAAAGAAACAUUGCAAGCCCGACAAUCAAGGCAACCAGGGAGGAACAUCACCACGACUCUCUGCGUCCCUCGAUUGACGCCUAUAGCGGUCAUUUUCAUUGUAUCUUUUGCAAAAAGUGGCACCAAACCCACUAGAUAAGUACUUUCUCCAUGCUUUAAGCCUUCUUUUGCUAAAAUAUCUGCUACUCUAUUUGCAUCUCGCUGAAUAUAAUGAAAAUCACAUGUUUGGCGUCAUGUAUAUAAGCCUUAAUAAGUGAACCAUCUAUGUCACAAGCUUGCAUUUUCUUUAUCACCAAUAGAGCAUCUCCCUUGAUUAGUACCUCUCAAAACCCUAUAUCUCUUCCAAGAUUCACUAUCUAAAAACAAGCAAUAGUCUCCGUAGCGAAAUUAGUAGGUAUGUUGUCGUUUAUUACUAUGUUCGAAACCACCACUCUACCUUCCCAAUUUCUGACAACUAUUCCAGUGCAGGAACGCUUACCACAGCCAUUGAACACUACGUCAAAGUUAAGCUUAUGGAAAGGAAAUUCAAGAGGUCUCCAACGCUCACUGCCUACUCGUUUUGCUGACAAACUUUACCAAGCUAAGUAACAUGUAGUGUAUGAUUAUAACCAGAGUGUCAACUUGCUAAACGUGUCAAGCAGAUCGUUAAAAAGAUCACACUAUCUCGUAAAUCGAAAUAUUGAUCGGGUUGGAAGCUGGUCGGAGUUAUUUCACACUAUCCAUCAGCCAUUUUGGUAAUCCACAAACUUAGGCGGAUCGGUGUGACGGAGCCUCAUGGUGACCACGAGUUCGUAAACUGACUUAAGUAUUGAUUUUUAUUUAAUUUAAGGAUUAUUUUUGGGAGUUUUGUAAUAAUUGGACUCUCCAGACUGUUUGAUUUUAUUUUGGGAUUUGAAUUUUCAUUUUUACAUUUUAUUUGCGACGGAUAUCAUAAAAA